rnacentral:rRNA from 1 species
GAGUUUGAUCCUGGCUCAGGAUGAACGCUGGCGGCGUGCCUAAUACAUGCAAGUCGAGCGAACGGACGAGAAGCUUGCUUCUCUGAUGUUAGCGGCGGACGGGUGAGUAACACGUGGAUAACCUACCUAUAAGACUGGGAUAACUUCGGGAAACCGGAGCUAAUACCGGAUAAUAUUUUGAACCGCAUGGUUCAAAAGUGAAAGACGGUCUUGCUGUCACUUAUAGAUGGAUCCGCGCUGCAUUAGCUAGUUGGUAAGGUAACGGCUUACCAAGGCAACGAUGCAUAGCCGACCUGAGAGGGUGAUCGGCCACACUGGAACUGAGACACGGUCCAGACUCCUACGGGAGGCAGCAGUAGGGAAUCUUCCGCAAUGGGCGAAAGCCUGACGGAGCAACGCCGCGUGAGUGAUGAAGGUCUUCGGAUCGUAAAACUCUGUUAUUAGGAGAACAUAUGUGUAAGUAACUGUGCACAUCUUGACGGUACCUAAUCAG